AAUUGAUGUGAUGAUAACUUUAUCUGAAUAUUCUAUGUCGACUAAAUCAGACUACAAUUAUCUGAUCAUCU